rnacentral:rRNA from 1 species
GGCGAUGAAGGGCGUGCUAAUCUGCGAUAAGCGCCGGUAAGGUGAUAUGAACCGUUAUAACCGGCGAUACCCGAAUGGGGAAACCCAGUGUGAUUCGUCACACUAUCAUUAACUGAAUCCAUAGGUUAAUGAGGCGAACCGGGGGAACUGAAACAUCUAAGUACCCCGAGGAAAAGAAAUCAACCGAGAUUCCCCCAGUAGCGGCGAGCGAACGGGGAGGAGCCCAGAGCCUGAAUCAGCAUGUGUGUUAGUGGAAGCGUCUGGAAAGGCGCGCGAUACAGGGUGACAGCCCCGUACACAAAAGCGCAUGUGCUGUGAGCUCGAUGAGUAGGGCGGGACACGUGGUAUCCUGUCUGAAUAUGGGGGGACCAUCCUCCAAGGCUAAAUACUCCUGACUGACCGAUAGUGAACCAGUACCGUGAGGGAAAGGCGAAAAGAACCCCGGCGAGGGGAGUGAAAAAGAACCUGAAACCGUGUACGUACAAGCAGUGGGAGCACAGGUUUACCUGUGUGACUGCGUACCUUUUGUAUAAUGGGUCAGCGACUUAUAUUCUGUAGCAAGGUUAACCGAAUAGGGGAGCCGGAGGGAAACCGAGUCUUAAUUGGGCGUUAAGUUGCAGGGUAUAGACCCGAAACCCGGUGAUCUAGCCAUGGGCAGGUUGAAGGUUGGGUAACACUAACUGGAGGACCGAACCGACUAAUGUUGAAAAAUUAGCGGAUGACCUGUGGCUGGGGGUGAAAGGCCAAUCAAACCGGGAGAUAGCUGGUUCUCCCCGAAAGCUAUUUAGGUAGCGCCUCGUGAAUUCAUCUCCGGGGGUAGAGCACUGUUUCGGCUAGGGGGCCAUCCCGGCUUACCAACCCGAUGCAAACUGCGAAUACCGGAGAAUGUUAUCACGGGAGACACACGGCGGGUGCUAACGUCCGUCGUGAAGAGGGAAACAACCCAGACCGCCAGCUAAGGUCCCAAAGUCAUGGUUAAGUGGGAAACGAUGUGGGAAGGCCCAGACAGCCAGGAUGUUGGCUUAGAAGCAGCCAUCAUUUAAAGAAAGCGUAAUAGCUCACUGGUCGAGUCGGCCUGCGCGGAAGAUGUAACGGGGCUAAACCAUGCACCGAAGCUGCGGCAGCGAACGUAUCACUUAAAGCGAUUCAGCGGGUUACGAUUGACGGAGCGAAGCGACGUCAAAGCGUAUACAAAGUCGAGUCGGUUUAAGGAUACGUUCGUUGGGUAGGGGAGCGUUCUGUAAGCCUGUGAAGGUGUGUCGUGAGGC